rnacentral:tRNA from 1 species
GCGGGUGUAGCUCAACUGGCAGAGCACGAGCUUUCCAAGCUUGAUGUUGAGGGUUCGAUUCCCUUCACCCGCU